UCCCCAUUCUAAGGGACCUCUGAUUGCCUGU
rnacentral:piRNA from 1 species